rnacentral:rRNA from 1 species
UACGUAGGCAGCGAGCGUUGUUCGGAGUUACUGGGCGUAAAGAGCGCGCAGGCGGUCGUUCAAGUCGCGUGUGAAAGCCCCCGGCUCAACUGGGGGAGGGUCACGCGAUACUGAUCGACUCGAAGGCAGGAAAGGGGUAGUGGAAUUCCAGGUGUAGCGGUGAAAUGCGUAGAUAUCUGGAGGAACACCGGUGGCGAAGGCGGCAUCCUGGACCGGUAUUGGACGCUGAGGAGCGAAAAGCGUGGGGGAGCAAACAGGG